CCUACGGGAGGCAGCAGUAGGGAAUAUUGGGCAAUGGAGGCAACUCUGACCCAGCCAUGCCGCGUGCAGGAUGAAGGCGUUAUGCGUUGUAAACUGCUUUUAUAUAGGAAGAAAGAGUUCUUGCGAGAACAGUUGACGGUACUAUAUGAAUAAGCACCGGCUAACUCCGUGCCAGCAGCCGCGGUAAUACGGAGGGUGCAAGCGUUGUCCGGAUUUAUUGGGUUUAAAGGGUGCGUAGGCGGUUUAUUAAGUCAGUGGUGAAAGACGGUCGCUCAACGAUUGCAGUGCCAUUGAUACUGGUAGACUUGAGUGAGAUUGAGGUAGCUGGAAUGGAUAGUGUAGCGGUGAAAUGCAUAGAUAUUAUCCAGAACACCAAUUGCGUAGGCAAGUUACUAAGUCUCAACUGACGCUGAGGCACGAAAGUGUGGGUAUCAAACAGGAUUAGAUACCCUGGUAGUCCACACUGUAAACGAUGAUAACUAACUGUUGGCUUUCGGGUCAGUGGUACAGAGAAAUCGUUAAGUUAUCCACCUGGGGAGUACGCCGGCAACGGUGAAACUUAAAUGAAAUUGACGGNUGAGAGAGACGACGGACGACGACGAGGGGAGGAGG
rnacentral:rRNA from 1 species